rnacentral:rRNA from 1 species
GUGAGGAAUAUUGCGCAAUGGAGGCAACUCUGACGCAGCCAUGCCGCGUGCAGGAAGAAGGCGUUACGCGUUGUAAACUGCUUUUAACCGGGAAGAAACCCCAGGACGUGUCCUGGGUUGACGGUACCGGAGGAAUAAGCACCGGCUAACUUCGUGCCAGCAGCCGCGGUAAUACGAAGGGUGCAAGCGUUAUCCGGAUUCAUUGGGUUUAAAGGGUGCGUAGGCGGAGCGUUAAGUCAGUGGUGAAAUCCUGCAGCUUAACUGUAGACUUGCCAUUGAUACUGGCGCUCUUGAGUGCGCUUGAAGUGGGCGGAAUGUGCCGUGUAGCGGUGAAAUGCUUAGAUAUGGCACAGAACACCAAUUGCGAAGGCAGCUCACUAAGGCGAUACUGACGCUGAGGCACGAAAGCGUGGGGAUCGAACAGGAUUAGAAACCCUUGUAGUCC